rnacentral:rRNA from 1 species
AACGAACGCUGGCGGCAGGCCUAAUACAUGCAAGUCGAACGCCGUAGCAAUACGGAGUGGCAGACGGGUGAGUAACGCGUGGGAACCUUCCUAAUGGUACGGAAUAGCCCGGGGAAACCCGGAGUAAUACCGUAUAAGCCCGUAAGGGGAAAGAUUAUCGCCAUUAGAUGGGCCCGCGUCGGAUUAGCUAGUUGGUAGGGUAACGGCCUACCAAGGCUACGAUCCGUAGCUGGUCUGAGAGGAUGAUCAGCCACACUGGGACUGAGACACGGCCCAGACUCCUACGGGAGGCAGCAGUAGGGAAUAUUGGACAAUGGGCGAAAGCCUGAUCCAGCCAUGCCGCGUGAGUGAUGAA